rnacentral:rRNA from 1 species
GACGAACGCUGGCGGCGUGCUUAACACAUGCAAGUCGAACGGAAAGGCCCUGCUUUUGUGGGGUGCUCGAGUGGCGAACGGGUGAGUAACACGUGAGUAACCAGCCCUUGACUUUGGGAUAACUUCAGGAAACUGGGGCUAAUACCGGAUAGGAGCUCCUGCUGCAUGGUGGGGGUUGGAAAGUUUCGGCGGUUGGGGAUGGACUCGCGGCUUAUCAGCUUGUUGGUGGGGUAGUGGCUUACCAAGGCUUUGACGGGUAGCCGGCCUGAGAGGGUGACCGGCCACAUUGGGACUGAGAUACGGCCCAGACUCCUACGGGAGGCAGCAGUGGGGAAUAUUGCACAAUGGGCGGAAGCCUGAUGCAGCAACGCCGCGUGCGGGAUGACGGCCUUCGGGUUGUAAACCGCUUUCGCCUGUGACGAAGCGUGAGUGACGGUAAUGGGUAAAGAAGCACCGGCUAACUACGUGCCAGCAGCCGCGGUGAUACGUAGGGUGCGAGCGUUGUCCGGAUUUAUUGGGCGUAAAGGGCUCGUAGGUGGUUGAUCGCGUCGGAAGUGUAAUCUUGGGGCUUAACCCUGAGCGUGCUUUCGAUACGGGUUGACUUGAGGAAGGUAGGGGAGAAUGGAAUUCCUGGUGGAGCGGUGGAAUGCGCAGAUAUCAGGAGGAACACCAGUGGCGAAGGCGGUUCUCUGGGCCUUUCCUGACGCUGAGGAGCGAAAGCGUGGGGAGCGAACAGGCUUAGAUACCCUGGUAGUCCACGCUGUAAACGGUGGGUACUAGGUGUGGGGUCCAUUCCACGGGUUCCGUGCCGUAGCUAACGCUUUAAGUACCCCGCCUGGGGAGUACGGCCGCAAGGCUAAAACUCAAAGGAAUUGGCGGGGCCCCGCACAAGCGGCGGAGCAUGCGGAUUAAUUCGAUGCAACGCGUAGAACCUUACCUGGGUUCGACAUGGAUCGGGAGCGCUCAGAGAUGGGUGUGCCUCUUUUGGGGUCGGUCCACAGGUGGUGCAUGGCUGUCGUCAGCCCGUGUCGUGAGAUGUUGGGUUAAGUCCCGCAACGAGCGCAACCCUUGUUCACUGUUGCCAGCACGUUAUGGUGGGGACUCAGUGGAGACCGCCGGGGUCAACUCGGAGGAAGGUGGGGAUGACGUCAAGUCAUCAUGCCCCUUAUGUCCAGGGCUUCACGCAUGCUACAAUGGCUGGUACAGAGAGUGGCGAGCCUGUGAGGGUGAGCGAAUCUCGGAAAGCCGGUCUCAGUUCGGAUUGGGGUCUGCAACUCGACCUCAUGAAGUCGGAGUCGCUAGUAAUCGCAGAUCAGCAACGCUGCGGUGAAUACGUUCCCGGGGCU